rnacentral:rRNA from 2 species
GCUCGCAGCAAUGCGGGAGUGGCGGACGGGUGAGUAACGCGUGGGAACGUGCCCUUUGGUUCGGAAUAACUCAGGGAAACUUGAGCUAAUACCGGAUAAGCCCUGAGAGGGGGAAAGAUUUAUCGCCGAAGGAUCGGCCCGCGUCCGAUUAGCUUGUUGGUGAGGUAACGGCUCACCAAGGCGACGAUCGGUAGCUGGUCUGAGAGGAUGAUCAGCCACACUGGGACUGAGACACGGCCCAGACUCCUACGGGAGGCAGCAGUGGGGAAUAUUGGACAAUGGGGGCAACCCUGAUCCAGCCAUGCCGCGCGAGUGAUGAAGGCCUUAGGGUUGUAAAGCUCUUUCGACGGGGACGAUAAUGACGGUACCCGUAGAAGAAGCCCCGGCUAACUUCGUGCCAGCAGCCGCGGUAAUACGAAGGGGGCUAGCGUUGCUCGGAAUCACUGGGCGUAAAGCGCACGUAGGCGGAUCUUUAAGUCAGGGGUGAAAUCCCGGGGCUCAACCUCGGAACUGCCCUUGAUACUGGGGAUCUCGAGUCCGGAAGAGGUAAGUGGAACUCCGAGUGUAGAGGUGAAAUUCGUAGAUAUUCGGAAGAACACCAGUGGCGAAGGCGGCUUACUGGUCCGGUACU